rnacentral:rRNA from 1 species
CCACAACAGGUGGAGCCUGCGGUUUAAUCGGACUCAACGCCGGGAAUCUCACCGGAUAAGACAGCUGGAUGAUAGCCGGGCUGAAGACUCUGCUUGACUAGCUGAGAGGAGGUGCAUGGCCGUCGUCAGUUCGUACUGUGAAGCAUCCUGUUAAGUCAGGCAACGAGCGAGACCCACGCCAACAGUUGCCAGCAUGUCCUCCGGGAUGAUGGGGACACUGUUGGGACCGCCUCUGCUAAAGAGGAGGAAGGAAUGGGCAACGGUAGGUCAGCAUGCCCCGAAUUAUCCGGGCUACGCGCGGGCUACAAUGGUCAGGACAAUGGGUAUCAACACCGAAAGGUGAAGGCAAUCUCCUAAACCUGUCCUUAGUUCGGAUUGUGGGCUGCAACUCGCCCACAUGAAGCUGGAAUCUGUAGUAAUCGCGUCUCAAAAUGGCGCGGUGAAUAUGUCCCUGCUCCUU